GACGAACGCUGGCGGCGUGCUUAACACAUGCAAGUCGAACGAAGAGCGAUGGAAGCUUGCUUCUAUCAAUCUUAGUGGCGAGCGGGUGAGUAACGCGUAAUCAACCUGCCCUUCAGAGGGGGACAACAGUUGGAAACGACUGCUAAUACCGCAUACGAUCCAAUCUCGGCAUCGGGACUGGAUGAAAGGUGGCCUCUAUUUAUAAGCUAUCACUGAAGGAGGGGAUUGCGUCUGAUUAGCUAGUUGGAGGGGUAACGGCCCACCAAGGCGAUGAUCAGUAGCCGGUCUGAGAGGAUGAACGGCCACAUUGGGACUGAGACACGGCCCAGACUCCUACGGGAGGCAGCAGUGGGGAAUCUUCCGCAAUGGACGAAAGUCUGACGGAGCAACGCCGCGUGAGUGAUGACGGCCUUCGGGUUGUAAAGCUCUGAUAAUCGGGACGAAUGGUUCUUGUGCGAAUAGUGCGAGGAUUUGACGGUACCGGAAUAGAAAGCCACGGCUAACUACGUG
rnacentral:rRNA from 1 species